rnacentral:rRNA from 1 species
UACGUAGGCAGCGAGCGUUGUUCGGAGUUACUGGGCGUAAAGGGUGUGUAGGCGGUUUUCUAAGUUUGGUGUGAAAUCUCCCGGCUCAACCGGGAGGGUGCGCCGAAAACUGGGAGACUAGAGUGCGGGAUGGGGAGAGUAGAAUUCCUGGUGUAGCGGUGAAAUGCGUAGAUAUCAGGAGGAAUACCGGUGGUGUAGACGGCUCUCUGGACCGCCCACUGACGGCUGAGACACGAAAAGCGUGGGGUAGCAAACAGG